CAACACGAUGGUCCCAGUUUCCCAAGAGCAAAAACAGAAGCUGCUUGGGGCAAGGUUUCAGAAUUUGCACAACAUUAUUUCUGCCACAGUAUAAUUUCUGUGAUCCAAAGAAAUCACAAGCCCAGCCCAGAUGCAAAGAUAGGCAUGUCCUAUUGCAAUGAGGCUGGAAACAGGGAAGGCGUUUACUUGGGCUAAUACUGUAGUCAUCUAUCAUGUCCGUUAACGUGUGGAUGUUCUCAGCCUUUCUCCUUCCUGCUACUUUCUCUCAUCCCAACCCAGUAAAGAUAAUAUUGUCUUUGUCUUUCCAAUUUCACCCAUUCCCCGUCUUAUAAGAUGACUGCUGGAUUUGCUCAUCUGACUCUAUGGAUGUUUGUGAUUUAGAAUUAGGAGAAUGAUUAGAGAGGACCAGAAAAAAAAAAAAGGAAGAUGGGGGUAAGAAAAAAGUCUAUCCCAGUGGUGGUGGUAGGUUUUCAGUGCAUUCUGGGUAGAAACGGAGGGCGAAGCAUGGGUGAGAGGCUCUAGAUCUGCAGAAGAUAUAUGAGAAUAAAGAGGUGAAAAAAGAGAAUUUUAAAGAGGCUUAUUUCAAAAUGAAAGUAAAGAACUAUUUUUUAAUUUCUUUUGACUACUGGAUUUUAUUUCUUUGAAUGUGACUUUGUCUGGAGAUCAGGUCAUACUGAACCUUAGAAUUUAUUUGGGUAAAAUAUGCAAAAUGCCUCUUCAGUAUGUAAGAUUAAUAGUUUUCCUAAUUUUACU
rnacentral:lncRNA from 1 species